rnacentral:rRNA from 1 species
GAUGAACGCUGGCGGCGUGCCUAAUACAUGCAAGUCGAGCGAACGGACGAGAAGCUUGCUUCUCUGAUGUUAGCGGCGGACGGGUGAGUAACACGUGGAUAACCUACCUAUAAGACUGGGAUAACUUCGGGAAACCGGAGCUAAUACCGGAUAAUAUUUUGAACCGCAUGGUUCAAAAGUGAAAGACGGUCUUGCUGUCACUUAUAGAUGGAUCCGUGCUGCAUUAGCUAGUUGGUAAGGUAACGGCUUACCAAGGCAACGAUGCGUAGCCGACCUGAGAGGGUGAUCGGCCACACUGGAACUGAGACACGGUCCAGACUCCUACGGGAGGCAGCAGUAGGGAAUCUUGCGCAAUGGGCGAAAGCCUGACGGAGCAACGCCGCGUGAGUGAUGAAGGUCUUCGGAUCGUAAAGCUCUGUUAUUAGGGAAGAACAUAUGUGUAAGUAACUGUGCACAUCUUGACGGUACCUAAUCAGAAAGCCACGGCUAACUACGUG